GGGGGGGCAAGCGUUGUUCGGAAUUACUGGGCGUAAAGGGCGCGUAGGCGGUCCCGCAAGUCCUCCGUGAAAUCCCACAGCUCAACUGUGGAACUGCGAGGGAAACUGCAGGACUUGAGUCCGGGAGAGGAGAGUGGAAUUCCCAGUGUAGCGGUGAAAUGCGUAGAUAUUGGGAGGAACACCGGUGGCGAAGGCGGCUCUCUGGACCGGUACUGACGCUGAGGCGCGAAAGCUAGGGGAGCAAACGGGAUUAGAUACCCCGGGUAGUCCUAGCCUUAAACGAUGAGCACUUGGUGUGGCGGGUAUCGACCCCCUGCCGUGCCGAAGCUAACGCAUUAAGUGCUCCGCCUGGGGAGUACGGUCGCAAGGCUG
rnacentral:rRNA from 1 species